AACAUGGGAAAAUGAUGAAAUUUGGCACACUUGUAGAGAUGACCAUUAUUAGUAAUCUGACCAACUUUGGGGUCUCUAGGACCAACUCUACAGCGCCACCACCAGUUCAAAAAUUCAACAUUCAAACAUUAAUAACUCUUGAACCACUUAUUCUAUGAAAAUCAAACUUAGUACAUCUAUUUUGUCUCUUCAAGGAGAUUCCAUUCCAUAUCUUACAUUAAGACUCCGCCCAUUACAGUAGCGGCCAUUUUGAAAAGUACAGUAUUCAGUCUAAACACUACUCCUCCUUCAAAAUUGGUCCAAUUCUUCUGAAAUUUGUCUCAGAUGUUCUUUGGACUGAGCCGCACAGAAAUGACUGAACAGAAUUUUUUGAACACUAGUGAAAAAAAAAGUUAUGAUGCUGUGAACUUACUGAGACUGACCUAAAAUCGGUUGAGAUGCUGUAUCUCGGCCAAACUUUGAUCAAUCGAUACCAAACUUGGUACACUUCAUCUACACCAUGAUCUGGGGGUCCAUGCCAAAUUUGGGAACAGCGCCACCUAUGGGUGUUGAGAUACCAAAAAUGCACUUUUUUGCUUAUAACUUCUGAACAAUUCAUCAGAAAAUUAUAAUUUUGAUGUCUAUGGAUUCUUUAGAUCAUUCCGGAUCUGUGGAUGUCAAUUUUGUCGAGACCACCAGGACCACCCGUCCGCCAUUUUGAAUUUUGUCAUAAAUUGCUAUAUCUUUUGAUCUAUUGUACAUAUCUUCACAAAAAUCGAUAGGCAUCAUCAACACCAUGUGCCUGAGGUACCCCGGAAGUUAGAAGACAGCGCCACCUAGUGUUCAAGAGAUAUAACGAUUCUUGCAAAACCCCUUAUAACUACUGUAAAUGUUGAUCGAUUUUUGUUAUUUUUAUGUCAUUUGAUUCCGUGGGUUAUGCCAAAUCAGAUGAUGUCUCAUUUGCCAUUUUCCAAUAUGGCGUCUGUCCGCCAUAUUGAAUGGAAUGAAAUACAGUUUUUUCGCUACUCCUCCCUGAAAUCUUGUUCGAUUUUGUUCAAAAUUUUAUCAGAUGAACUUCAGACCGGGCCUGACAGAAAUGACUGAACAGAUUUUUGAUAUUCGCUCCCGUUCCCGACGUGUACAGCUCUGAACUUGACCGUGCCUGUGCUGGUUGAUUUAUGCUAAUUAGCUUAGCAUGCUAAUUAGCUAAAAUGCUAACACGUUUCUAUUGACUCUAAUGGGUCUCCUGAGCUAUCUGGUUAACUUUGAGCAACGUUAGCAUUUUUUAGCGUAGCAUGCUAAUCUGGCUAAAAUGCUGCUUCGGGCUUUUGAGAGUUAAUUCUCACACCUUAACCUCUCUUCUGUGCCAUGCAAACAGUGUGUCAACUAAUGUGGCACACUUAGCUAAGGCACUCGUCCCGAACCCAAGAGGUCGUGGGAUCGAAUCCGGGGUGGGUAACGUCGAUCCGAUGGAAGUUCCAUUUUGGCCGUUUUGCUUCGUCCCGCUCGUUGCUCUGGCUACAGCCCUUCAGGGCUUGGCCCCGGUAUCGCUGCUUGCAGCUAUAUUAGCGAUUGUUUUUGGUAGAAUUUUCGAGCAAAAACAAUCGAUCACUAUGCUAGCCCUAUGAAGGGAACAUGGGAAAAUGAUGAAAU